UUGCAAUGAUGUCACUCUCUGACUGAAGUAACCUUGAAGUGCAGUUUUAUGAGCUUUUUAACCCUGAGCAGU
ensembl:snoRNA SNORD36 Small nucleolar RNA SNORD36